GUCUACAGCCGUGCCACUCUGAAUAAGCCUGAUCCCGUCUGAUCUUGGAAGCUAAGCAGGGUCGGGCCUGGUUAGUACCUGGAUAGGAGACCACCUAGGAAGACCAGGUGCUGUAGGCA
rnacentral:rRNA from 1 species